AUUCCUUUCUUUUCUUAUCGACCUCAUGUUUUGGAGAAGUAAUAUUUGAUACAACAUGUGAUUUACAAUAAGCAAUUGUUUUACGGACUGAUGUGAAAUUGGCGACCCAGGAUUAUCCCAACACAAUAAGAAAAAUCCCCGAGAGAGCUGAGGCAUUAUAAGUAUUGUUUCUCAAGCAAAGUUCAGAAACAAUAUUUCGGUCUUCAAAAUCUGCUGACUGGGCUAAACACAUCGAGUUGAACAGAAGUGGCUAAUAUCAGACACCAACUGUUGUUUUGAAUGAAUGGUUUUCCUGAUGAGAGGAGUUAAUUAUGAAUUUCGAAACAAUAGCAACACAUGUUGAUGCAAAUGGCUGGCUGAUUCCCUUAUGAUGGCUUUGGGAUGAAUAAUGAAUGCUUUUUGUAGUGAUAACGCCCUUAUAACGUAUCACAAAUCCUUACAAUCAUGAACAUCAGAUAUCAUUAAACUGAAUAGCGUGUUUAUAUUUGCUAUGCGAAUAUUAGGCAGUUAUAUUAUUUGAAAAUUAUAGGAGUAAUCGUAGAAUGAAGUUUAUACUUUGUUGUAGCUAGGAUAAGAUCAAAAUACGACAAAAGCACGAGAGAAAAACUAA